rnacentral:misc_RNA from 1 species
UUUCCGUUGGUGAACCAGCGGAAGGAUCAUUACAGAGAUCGUACCCUUCGGGGUAGACUUCCCACCCUGUGUUAUUUACGUAGGUUGCUUUGGCGAGCCGCCUCUGGGCUCUCGGUUUCGGCCGAGGUGUGCCCGCCAGAGAACCCACAACCCUGUGUUUAGUGUCGGCUGAUUAUUAUCAAAGAAGUUAAAACUUUCAACAACGGAUCUCUUGGUUCUG